rnacentral:rRNA from 1 species
UACUCGAGUGGCGAACGUGUGAGUAACACGUGGGUGAUCUGCCCUGCACUUCGGGAUAAGCCUGGGAAACUGGGUCUAAUACCGGAUAGUAGCCAUUUUUAGUGUGAUGGUUGGAAAGUUUUUUCGGUGUAGGAUGAGCUCGCGGCCUAUCAGCUUGUUGGUGGGGUAAUGGCCUACCAAGGCGGCGACGGGUAGCCGGCCUGAGAGGGUGGACGGCCACAUUGGGACUGAGAUACGGCCCAG